rnacentral:rRNA from 1 species
AUUGAACGCUGGCGGCAUGCCUUACACAUGCAAGUCGAACGGUAACGGGCCUUCGGGUGCCGACGAGUGGCGAACGGGUGAGUAAUACAUCGGAACGUGCCCGAUCGUGGGGGAUAACGAGGCGAAAGCUUUGCUAAUACCGCAUACGAUCUACGGAUGAAAGCAGGGGACCGCAAGGCCUUGCGCGGACGGAGCGGCCGAUGGCAGAUUAGGUAGUUGGUGGGAUAAAAGCUUACCAAGCCGACGAUCUGUAGCUGGUCUGAGAGGAUGAUCAGCCACACUGGGACUGAGACACGGCCCAGACUCCUACGGGAGGCGGCAGUGGGGAAUUUUGGACAAUGGGCGCAAGCCUGAUCCAGCCAUGCCGCGUGCAGGAUGAAGGCCUUCGGGUUUUAAACUGCUUUUGUACGGAACGAAAAGCCUUCUUUUAAUACAGGAGGGUCAUGACGGUACCGUAAGAAUAAGCACCGGCUAACUACGUG